AUGUUUAGGCUUGCUCUAAUUCCACAAGCGAUUGCUCUAUGUUUCUUUUUUCAUGCUCUUCAAAUAAGUGGUGUUCGGUUGUUUACUGCUAUUCAAGAGGAAAAUAAUUCACCACCAGAAGAUUUCCUCCAUGGUUCAGCCAAACGAAUUCUCACAAGUUUGAAGUCAAACUCCAUUGAAGCAACAACUUUUGGACAAGAAUCUAGUUCACAAGAUGAAGCAUAUACUGCAGGAUACUAUACAUCAUCUAGAGGUCCUGAGGCCAGCUACUAUGGCUUACAUGCCACCAUGGAUGUGUAUGGCCACGAAUUAAAACAUGGUCAGUGGAGUUCGACUACAUUUUGGGUUUCUCAUUACGGAGAUAGUAAUAAAUCAAGCUAUAAUGAGAUUCAAGUUGGCUGGCAUAUUCGUCCAGAACGCUAUGGUGACUCACACCCUCACUUCUAUACCUUAUGGACGAGAGAUGGGUUUGAAACCGGCUGCUACAACAUGGACUGCCCUGGUUUUGUACGUGUAAAUGACGCUGUUAUAGCUCCAGGUGAUGCUAUACAUCCGGUUUCUCAUGUUCCUGGACCUAUUCAAAAUAUCACUCUCAGAGUGCUUAAGGACAAGACAAGUGGUGACUGGUGGGUCUAUUACGGCUUCAACAACAUCCCCACAGGGGUGGGAUAUUUUCCAAAGUCCAUAUUCAGCUACUUAGCACAAAAGGCAAAUGUAAUGUCUUUUGGUGGAUUUGUUAAAUCUACAAAAGCACUUCCAACUCCUCCAAUGGGCAGCGGCGCCUUCCCAAAUGGUGGCAAGGGUCGCGCCGCAUCAUUCACUGACCUUCGAUUCAUCAACCAGGAUGGGAAUAGCAGCCCAAUCACGGGAAACCUAACCCCAUUAGUCACUGAUGGCAAAUGCCACUCUAUUACUCCUAUUGAUCAUGCUCGAUGUUUCUAUGGCGGGCCAGGAGGUUGCGUGAGAUAA
rnacentral:rRNA from 1 species